GCUGCUGCUGCAGAGCGGCCAGCAGGAGGGUGGAUCUCCCGAGAGCGGGGCGCCCUGAGCCCUCCUCCGCCUCCUCCUGCUGCCCAGACUCCACCGCCUCCUGUCGGACUCCUCCUUCUGCAGCUCCCGGCGCGGAGCCUCCUGGACGACAAGGGCCGAGCACUCUCCAGCUGGAGCUAGCUCAGCCGCGGCUUCCGGAGCCCGCGGGGCGGUGGACCGGCUUGCGGUGCAGCACCUGUCACUGCGUAACCAAGACCACGUUUUUGAACACCUGGCGUAACAUAAAACUACUAGAUCACACUGCAGCCAGUCUCUCAGGAGGUUCCACCCUGUUGCUUAUAUCUCAACAUUGCUGAAAUCAAGUCAUAGUGUGGUAGCAGAACCUCUGUGACUGGGGUAAGAAAACUGCUUAUACUUAGGCUAUACUUAGAUUCUUCUUUUAAAAUAUUUUGUGAUCCAUUAAAAAAUCAUUGUAGAUUUCCAUCAUUUCCUUGCACCAGCUCUUUUCACCACCACCCCUCCUAAAAAGGCUGCUUGUUCCUCUUUCUUUCCUUACCCAUAUCCACUCAAGCCAGGAAGUUGGGUACUUUGGCUUGAAUUGUCCCUUCACCCCUCAUAUCUAAUCUGUCCCCAGAUUUGGUUGAUGCUUUUUUCUUGAUGUCUCAAAUCCAUCCCCAUCUUCUGCCUAGUCAC